ensembl:lincRNA
CUAGAAUAAGCAUUGUGAGUUUGAGUGUGAGUUUCUUCUUCAGAACCAGCAGCCAGGGGACUGGUUGGCUGAUUGUAGGAAAGGGCAUUGAAACAGAGGGGAUUAGGGUAUUGAGCUAUAUUAAAGAACAAUUGAAGAUGUUGAAUGUUAAAGAAAAAAAGUCCAGUCUUCAGAAAGACAGAGAAGGUUACUAAAAAGUUAACAGGAAGGGACGAUGCCAUUAACGUAAAGGUAAUUAUCAGCUGAGAGGUAUGAGGAUGAAGAGUUCUGAACUUUCUAAUAGAAGAAGACCAGACUAUAAUUAAAUAAUUUAAAAAUGCAUAAUAUGUAAUAAUAAUAACAGUAAUACUAGUCAACAAAUGAAUCCAUUGGAUAAUGGAAAGUUAACUAAAUAAACUUGUCUCUGUUUGCCAUCCCCAACUUGAAAUAAUCUGGGGCACAAAUAUCCUAGCACAGUACCUGGCACAAAACAACUCAAUAAAUAUUGAUUUUUCUCUUUUUCUUCUUGAUUAUUAAUAG